AUUCAGCAGUGAGCUUGAAAUGAGCUGGUAGUCUGACUGGGUUUAUACAAAAUCUCCAUUCUUAAAGCGGAGGCAAAGGUACCAGAGAAGACUGGGAUGAAAACUUACAUUGCUGAGAUGUGAUCUCUCUGGCCUGAUGCACUGUCCCAAGUGGCCAAGGAAAAGUUGGGUUUCUCUGAAUGUGUAGUGACACUUCCUACAAAGAAACCUUGA
rnacentral:lncRNA from 1 species